rnacentral:rRNA from 1 species
GACGAACGCUGGCGGCGUGCUUAACACAUGCAAGUCGAACGGAAAGGCCCUGCUUGCAGGGUCCUCGAGUGGCGAACGGGUGGGUAACACGUGGGUGAUCUGCCCUGCACUUCGGGAUAAGCUUGGGAAACUGGGUCUAAUACCGGAUAGGAGCCAUCUUUAGUGUGGUGGUUGGAAAGUUUUUUCGGUGUAGGAUGAGCUCGCGGCCUAUCAGCUUGUUGGUGGGGUAAUGGCCUACCAAGGCGGCGACGGGUAGCCGGCCUGAGAGGGUGUACGGCCACAUUGGGACUGAGAUACGGCCCAGACUCCUACGGGAGGCAGCAGUGGGGAAUAUUGCACAAUGGGCGCAAGCCUGAUGCAGCGACGCCGCGUGGGGGAUGAAGGCCUUCGGGUUGUAAACUCCUUUCGCUAGGGACGAAGCUUUGUUGUGACGGUACCUAGAUAAGAAGCACCGGCUAACUACGUG